CCUACGGGAGGCAGCAGUGGGGAAUAUUGGGCAAUGGGCGAAAGCCUGACCCAGCAACGCCGCGUGAGGGAAGAAGGGUUUCGGCUCGUAAACCUCUGUCCUAUGGGACGAAGAAGGUGACGGUACCAUAGGAGGAAGCCCCGGCUAACUACGUGCCAGCAGCCGCGGUAAUGCGUAGGGGGCGAGCGUUGUCCGGAAUGAUU
rnacentral:rRNA from 1 species